CCAAAAGGCCGGUCCAGUGAACUAAAUCUUAAAAUACUUCAUUCAAGUGGUUCUUGUGUCCAGGCAGAAUCUUUACCAACAUUCGACCCAACAGUUUGAUGGCUCAGGUGGUUUGCUUCUGUAGUCAUCAAUGACUCUGAAGGGCAGAGUCAUUGCACUGCCUGAUCUCCACGCAGGGCCCCUCCAACUCUUCGCUUUGAAAACAUUUAGACUUGCUAACCUUGGAAGACUUAAGAAAAUGCUCAGUGAAUCCAGUUGUUAAUGUUCGGCUCUAUUUGAUGUCUAUUGUACCAUUGGAAAAGUAGCUGACUUCAUUGCAUGGAUGACGGACAUCUAAAUGUGUUUUUCUGAAAGACAGUUUUUCCCUCCUGAAAAAAUAGG
rnacentral:lncRNA from 1 species